rnacentral:rRNA from 1 species
GGGGGAUAUUGCACAAUGGGCGCAAGCCUGAUGCAGCGACGCCGCGUGAGGGAUGACGGCUUUCGGGUUGUAAACCUCUUUUACUAUCGAACAAGGCACAGUCUUUUGUUGUGUUGAGGGUAGGUGGUGAAUAAGCGCCGGCUAACUACGUGCCAGCAGCCGCGGUAAUACGUAGGGCGCGAGCGUGGUCCGGAAUUAUUGGGCGUAAAGAGCUCGUAGGCGGCUUGCCGCGUCUGCUGUGAAAUCCCAGGGCUUAACUCUGGGCGUGCAGUGGGUACGGGCAGGCUAGAGUGCGGUAGGGGUGAUUGGAAUUCCUGGUGUAGCGGUGGAAUGCGCAGAUAUCAGGAGGAACACCGAUGGCGAAGGCAGGUCACUGGGCCGUUACUGACGCUGAGGAGCGAAAGCAUGGGGAGCGAAC